rnacentral:rRNA from 1 species
AUUGAACGCUGGCGGCAUGCUUUACACAUGCAAGUCGAACGGUAACAGGGUGCUUGCACCGCUGACGAGUGGCGAACGGGUGAGUAAUGCGUCGGAACGUGCCGAGUAGUGGGGGAUAACGCAGCGAAAGUUGUGCUAAUACCGCAUACGUACUGAGGUAGAAAGUGGGGGGCCUUCGGGCCUCACGCUAUUCGAGCGGCCGACGUCUGAUUAGCUAGUAGGUGAGGUAAAGGCUCACCUAGGCGACGAUCAGUAGCGGGUCUGAGAGGAUGAUCCGCACACUGGGACUGAGACACGGCCCAGACUCCUACGGGAGGCAGCAGUGGGGAAUUUUGGACAAUGGGCGAAAGCCUGAUCCAGCCAUGCCGCGUGUCUGAAGAAGGCCUUCGGGUUGUAAAGGACUUUUGUCAGGGAGGAAAUCCCUAGUGCUAAUAACACUGGGGGAUGACAGUACCUGAAGAAUAAGCACCGGCUAACUACGUGCCAGCCGCCGCAGUAA